CCUACGGGAGGCUGCAGUGAGGAAUAUUGGUCAAUGGCCGAGAGGCUGAACCAGCCAAGUCGCGUGAGGGAAGAAUGUCCUCUGGAUUGUAAACCUCUUUUGUCAGGGAGCAAAGUCACCCACGUGUGGGUGUUGGACAGUACCUGACGAAAAAGCAUCGGCUAACUCCGUGCCAGCAGCCGCGGUAAUACGGAGGAUGCGAGCGUUAUUCGGAUUUAUUGGGUUUAAAGGGUUCGUAGGCGGGUUCUCAAGUUAGCGGGAAUAUCGUGGAGCUAAACUCCGACCAGCCGUUGAAACUGAUGAUCGUGAGUGGGCGAGAAGGAUGCGGAAUGCGUGGUGUAGCGGUGAAAUGCAUAGAGAUCACGCAGAACACCGAUUGCGAAGGCAGCAUACCGGCGCCCGACUGACGCUGAAGCACGAAAGCGUGGGUAUCGAACAGGAUUAGAUACCCUAGUAGUC
rnacentral:rRNA from 1 species